rnacentral:rRNA from 1 species
UUAAUAAGCUAAUGAGAUAUAAAUUCUAAAUUGUGUACAUAUCGCCCGUCGCUUUCAUUUAUAAGUGAAAUAAAUUUUUAAAUUGUCAGUAAAUUUUAAUAAAAUCUAAUUAUAAACUAUAGUUUAAAGUACUGUAAAGGAAAGGAAAAAUAUAUAAAUUAGUAAAUUUAAAAAUUUGUACCUUGUGUAUCAGGGAGAAUUUAUUUAAAUUAAUAAUUAAUUAAAAAUCUCGAAAUAAAAAUAGCUAAUUUGAAUAAAAAAUUUUUUGUAUAAACAAAAUUUUUAAUAUAAAAUUAAAGGUGAAAUGCUAAACGAGUUUUAUGAUAUCUAGUUUUUUAAAAAUAAAUUUAAUUUAAUUUUUAUAGUUUUAUAAGAUAUAAAAAUUAAACGUAGGAGGGAUUAGCUUCUUAUGAAAUAAAAGUGUAAACAGUUCAAUAUAAUUUUAUUCUGUGAAUUAAGCUUAAAAGUAGCUAUAUUUAUAAAGUGUUUUAACUAAAUUAUAAUAAAUAUAAUAUUUAUUUGAACUUUUUUAUGUAUUAAAAAAUUAAUUUAAAUCAAAAUAAUUAAGUUAUAAUGAUUUUAUUAGUAUAAAUUUAUUAUAAAAUAAAAAAAUAAAAUAUUUUAUUUAUUUUAAAUUUUAUAAGACAAUAUAUAAGGAACUCGGCAACAAAAUUUCUUUGCCUGUUUAUCAAAAACAUGUCUGUUUGGAGCUAUAAAAAGUUUAACCUGCCCACUGAUAAUAAUAAUUAAAUGGCCGCGGUAUUUUGACCGUGCAAAGGUAGCAUAAUCGUUAGGUUUUUAAUUGAAAUCUUGUAUGAAUGGUUGGACAAAAGAAAAUCUGUCUCUAUAUUGUUUAUUGAAUUUAACUUUUAAGUGAAAAGGCUUAAAUAUAUUAAAAAGACGAUAAGACCCUAUAAAGCUUAAUAUUGAAUAUUUAUUUAGUUAAAUUUUAUACAAUAAAAACUUAGUAAUAUAUGUUUAUUUUAUUGGGGCGAUAAAAGUAAAAUGUUUAUUAACUGCUUAAUAAUUAAUACAUUUAUAAAUGAAUUAAAUGUUUAAAUGAUCCUUUUUAAAGAUUAAAAGUUUAAGUUACUUUAGGGAUAACAGCGUUAUUUUUCUUAAGAGUACUUAUCGAAAGAAAAGUUUGCGACCUCGAUGUUGAAUUAAAAUAUCUUUAUAAUUGCAGCAGUUAUAAAAGUAGGUCUGUUCGACCUUUAAAAUUUUACAUGAUUUGAGUUCAAACCGGUGUAAGCCAGGUUGGUUUCUAUCUUUUAAUUAAAAAAAAUUAUUUUAGUACGAAAGGAUUAAAUAAUUAAAAAAUUUUUAUAAUUUAUUU